AUUUCUGCGAGAGCCGCUCCGGAGCAGCGGUCGGGGAGGGAGAGGGUUGCCAGCGCUUCCUGGAAGUCCUGAAGCUCUCGCAGUGCAGUGAGUUCAUGCACCUUCUUGCCAAGCCUCAGUCUUUGGGAUCUGGGGAGGCCGCCUGGUUUUCCUCCCUCCUUCUGCACGUCUGCUGGGGUCUCUUCCUCUCCAGGCCUCGCCGUCCCCCUGGCCUCUCUUCCCAGCUCACACAUGAAGAUGCACUUGCAAAGGGCUCUGGUGGUCCUGGCCCUGCUGAACUUUGCCACGGUCAGCCUCUCUCUGUCCACUUGCACCACCUUGGACUUCGGCCACAUCAAGAAGAAGAGGGUGGAAGCCAUUAGGGGACAGAUCUUGAGCAAGCUCAGGCUCACGAGCCCCCCUGAGCCAACGGUGAUGACCCACGUCCCCUAUCAGGUCCUGGCCCUUUACAACAGCACCCGGGAGCUGCUGGAGGAGAUGCAUGGGGAGAGGGAGGAAGGCUGCACCCAGGAAAACACCGAGUCGGAAUACUAUGCCAAAGAAAUCCAU
rnacentral:sRNA from 1 species